AGACUUCCUGCUGCCAAUGAAAGCAGAGCAGCAGAAAGACGUGCUGAGUGUAAAGCUGUCAGCAGGGGGAAUAACACAGGGCUGUGAAUGAGUCCUGUCACUGUGAUCAGGCUCCUCCUUCUAAUCCACCAACUUAGUGUUGAUGAAGACUAAACAGAGAGAUCACAGCUUCUUUAUACUUGCUGUAGCUCACAGUUACUCUACACUGCAGAUAUGACGCCUCUGUUCAUCUCAGUGCUGCUGGCUGCUAUGUGCCUCGAAUGCAGAGCACAAAAAGACAACGUGCUGCAAGCAAAAGGAGAAGAGACUGCUGCUGCAGGAGGCACAGUAACACUUGGCUGUCUCUAUAACAGCAGUGGUUUAACAGGCACUUCUCUCUUCUGGUACAAACAGGAUGGAAACAACAGCCCCAAAUUCAUCCUGAGUCGUGUUAGCAGGGAUGAUGGAAACACAGCAGCUGAGUUCAAGGAGAGAUUUUCAUCCACACUGGAUUCCAGCAUCAGAUCAGUUCCUCUGAAGAUCCAGAAGCUUCAGCUGUCUGACUCUGCUGUGUACUACUGUGCUCUGAGGCCCACAGUGACAGGAAACACCAAAACUCUGUACAAAAAUCUUUGGAUCAAAGACAACAGAAUACUCCACAACAUCCACUAGAGGGAGCCACACACG